rnacentral:rRNA from 1 species
AACGCGAAGAACCUUACCUGGGUUUGACAUAUGCCGGAAAGCUGCAGAGAUGUAGCCCCCGCAAGGUCGGUAUACAGGUGGUGCAUGGCUGUCGUCAGCUCGUGUCGUGAGAUGUUGGGUUAAGUCCCGCAACGAGCGCAACCCUCGUCCUAUGUCGCCAGCGGAUAAUGCCGGGGACUCAUACGAGACUGCCGGGGUCAACUCGGAGGAAGGUGGGGAUGACGUCAAGUCAUCAUGCCCCUUAAGUCCAGGGCUUCACGCAUGCUACAAUGGCUGGUACAAAGGGCUGCGAAACCGCAAGGUCGAGCGAAUCCCAAAAAGCCAGUCUCAGUUCGGAUUGGGGUCUGCAACUCGACCCCAUGAAGUCGGAGUCGCUAGUAAUCGCAGAUCAGCAACGCUGCGGUGAAUACGUUCCCGGCCUUGUACACACCG